GACGAACGCUGGCGGCGUGCCUAAUACAUGCAAGUAGAACGCUGAAGAGAGGAGCUUGCUCUUCUUGGAUGAGUUGCGAACGGGUGAGUAACGCGUAGGUAACCUGCCUGGUAGCGGGGGAUAACUAUUGGAAACGAUAGCUAAUACCGCAUAAAAUGGAUUAUCGCAUGAUAAUCCAUUGAAAGGUGCAAAUGCAUCACUACCAGAUGGACCUGCGUUGUAUUAGCUAGUUGGUGGGGUAACGGCUCACCAAGGCGACGAUCAGUAGGGGUUCUGAGAGGAAGGUCCCCCACAUUGGAACUGAGACACGGUCCAAACUCCUACGGGAGGCAGCAGUGAGGAAUAUUGGUCAAUGGACGGAAGUCUGAACCAGCCAAGUAGCGUGCAGGAAGACGGCCCUAUGGGUUGUAAACUGCUUUUAUACGAGAAUAAUUUGAUGCACGUGUGCGUUAUUGCAUGUAUCGUAUGAAUAAGGACCGGCUAAUUCCGUGCCAGCAGCCGCGGUAAUACGGAAGGUCCAGGCGUUAUCCGGAUUUAUUGGGUUUAAAGGGAGUGUAGGCGGUUGGUUAAGCGUGUUGUGAAAUGUAGAUGCUCAACAUCUGACUUGCAACGCGAACUGGCUGACUUGAGUACACACAAACGUAGGCGGAAUUCAUGGUGUAGCGGUGAAAUGCUUAGAUAUCAUGAAGAACUCCGAUUGCGAAGGCAGCUUACGGGAGUGUUACUGACGCUUAAGCUCGAAAGUGCGGGUAUCGAACAGG
rnacentral:rRNA from 1 species